UACGAAGGGUGCAAGCGUUACUCGGAAUUACUGGGCGUAAAGCGUGCGUAGGUGGUUUGUUAAGUCUGUUGUGAAAGCCCGGGCUCAACCUGGGAAUGGCAAUGGAUACGUGGCAGGCUAGAGUGCGGUAGAGGGUAGUGGAAUUCCCGGUGUAGCGGUGAAAUGCGUAGAGAUCGGAGGAACACCAGUGGCGAAGGCGGCUACCUGGACCAGCACUGACACUGAGGC
rnacentral:rRNA from 1 species